rnacentral:rRNA from 1 species
GGGGAAUCUUAGACAAUGGGCGCAAGCCUGAUCUAGCCAUGCCGCGUGAGCGAUGAAGGCCUUAGGGUUGUAAAGCUCUUUCAGUGGGGAAGAUAAUGACUGUACCCACAGAAGAAGCCCCGGCUAACUCCGUGCCAGCAGCCGCGGUAAUACGGAGGGGGCUAGCGUUGUUCGGAAUUACUGGGCGUAAAGCGCACGUAGGCAGACCAGAAAGUUGGGGGUGAAAUCCCGGGGCUCAACCUCGGAACUGCCUUCAAAACUCCUGGUCUUGAGGUCGAGAGAGGUGAGUGGAAUUCCGAGUGUAGAGGUGAAAUUCGUAGAUAUUCGGAGGAACACCAGUGGCGAAGGCGGCUCACUGGCUCGAUACUGACGCUGAGGUGCGAAAGCGUGGGGAGCAAAC